AGCGAACGCUGGCGGCAGGCCUAACACAUGCAUGUCGAGCGCCGUAGCAAUACGGAGCGGCAGACGGGAGAGUAACACGUGGGAACGUGCCCUUCAGUUCGGAACAACCCAGGGAAACUUGGGCUAAUACCGGAUACGUCCGUAAGGAGAAAGAUUUAUCGCUGAAGGAUCGGCCCGCGUCUGAUUAGCUAGUUGGUGGGGUAAUGGCCCACCAAGGCUACGAUCAGUAGCUGGUCUGAGAGGAUGAUCAGCCUCACUGGGACUGAGACACGGCCCAGACUCCUACGGGAGGCAGCAGUGGGGAAUAUUGGACAAUGGGCGCAAGCCUGAUCCAGCCAUGCCGCGUGGAUGAUGAAGGCCCUAGGGUUGUAAAGUCCUUUCGGCGGGGAAGAUAAUGACGGUACCCGCAGAAGAAGCCCCGGCUAACUUCGUGCCAGCCGCCGCCGUAAAAC
rnacentral:rRNA from 1 species